GAAGGCCCAGACAGCCAGGAUGUUGGCUUAGAAGCAGCCAUCAUUUAAAGAAAGCGUAAUAGCUCACUGGUCGAGUCGGCCUGCGCGGAAGAUGUAACGGGGCUAAACCAUGCACCGAAGCUGCGGCAGCGAACGUAUCACCCAAGACAACUUUACGGAGUUGACGAUUGACGGAGCGAAGCGACGUCAAAGCGUUCAUUAAAGUCGAGUUGGCUUAGGGAUACGUUCGUUGGGUAGGGGAGCGUUCUGUAAGCCUGUGAAGGUGUGUCGUGAGGCAUGCUGGAGGUAUCAGAAGUGCGAAUGCUGACAUAAGUAACGAUAAAGCGGGUGAAAAGCCCGCUCGCCGGAAGACCAAGGGUUCCUGUCCAACGUUAAUCGGGGCAGGGUGAGUCGACCCCUAAGGCGAGGCCGAAAGGCGUAGUCGAUGGGAAACGGGUUAAUAUUCCCGUACUUGGUGUUACUGCGAAGGGGGGACGGAGAAGGCUAUGUUGGCCGGGCGACGGUUGUCCCGGUUUAAGCGUGUAGGUGUGUGUUCCAGGUAAAUCCGGUUCACUUUAACACUGAGGCGUGACGACGAGGCACUACGGUGCUGAAGCAACAAAUGCCCUGCUUCCAGGAAAAGCCUCUAAGCAUCAGGUAACAUCAAAUCGUACCCCAAACCGACACAGGUGGUCAGGUAGAGAAUACCAAGGCGCUUGA
rnacentral:rRNA from 1 species